ACCGCGCCGGGGGGCGGCCCCGGCGGGGAGGCGGUGCGGGAUGGGCAGAGCGGCAGUGUGAGUGACUGCCGCCGGCCUGCAGGCCCUUCCGUUAAAGCCGCCCGUCUUAUCGCCCAAGGUUGCAGCGUCUAGAUCGUCUUGUGCUUCUUCCCACAGAAAUUGCUCCGGGCAGUGCUUUACAGAACACAAGAGGAGACCGCUGACAGCAUCAAGCCAUCCCAUGUCAUCUCUGCAACUGAAACAGUGAUGGAAGGCGUUACUUAGCAGCAAUGCUGGAAAGCCUAUGUAAGAGGUGUGUGUAAUAGUCAGAUACUGAAGAGAUCCAGGGGGACUUUGGUAAACUGAAAAAGUAAAAAAUUCCAUACUCGGAUACUUUGUCAUCCAGUGGUAUUCAUGUAAACCCAGAAAACUCAUCUGUCUUUGCUAAAUGUUUGUAUGGCACAUGAUCUAGAAACGUUGAAUGACAAAAUUGAUGGCAUCAGUAUUAGCAGUCUUUUAAAAAAUGUUUCUGGGAAAGAAAAGGGAUGAAUGAACUAUAAUUUUAAAUAUCCUUAAAUUUUGACUUUGUCUGGUACAGUUCUUCCAGAGCAAUUAUUUGCCCCCUGUUUUAAUUCAGCUGAGCUUAAGUAAACACAUUUUUGAGACAGAAGGGAUGGGCAAUAUAAUUGUAUCUUUCUACAUCAGCCAUCACUCUCUAGUUAGUGUUUGGUGUCUUAUUAUCUUAAAAUUGUACAAGGAAAAUGCUCAUAGUAUGAUUAUGAUAUAAAAAAUUAUAUAUGCUGAUAGCUAGUGGAAGUUAUAUAUUUCAGUGUAUGGUAUAAAUGUUCUGGCAUUCAUGACUUCUCAGCUAAAAGUUUAUUCAUAAUAAAGAAGAUGUGAAAGAGGAUGGUACCAAUUUUUAAGUACCUAUUGUGUAAAAAUUCUUACUACAGAGAAAAUUACAGUUGUUCCUAAAAAAAGGUGUUCACAUACAAGGUUAUUAAGAACAAGCUAGUGCUGUGUAAAUCCAUACAAAGACUUGCCAUUUAGUCAAUACUUGAACCAUCACUGUGCACAGCAAACUUGUGCCAGUUGCUGCAUUAUCAGCAUCUUGAGCAAUUAAGUAAUCACUUUGUCACUGCUUGAGCUUAAAAAACUCUCCAUAAAGAUGAUUAUCAUUAUGUUGUAGAUAAACCACAUUUUAAUCCCUAUUCAUGAAAAGGAAUAGCACAUAAGUAUAAAAUUGUACUAGAGCAAAUGCAUGUUAUUCCAGCACAGUGUAUCUGUUUUGCUUGGGUUGCGCUGGUAUAAUAAAAUUAAUACAAUUAAAUCAAUUAAUGGGAAUUUGACUGGCAAGGGGUUUUUUGACAUGCUAGGUAUAGUAAGGCCUGAAUCCUGGCUGGGUUUCUAUGUGAUACUAGGGCGGGGAAAAAUUGAAAAUCAGAGACAGUGAAAAGUGAAAGCUGCUUGUGGACUCUAUAAUAAAGACAAUAAGAUUGGUGACAGCAAGCACUGCCCCUCCAGCCUAUGUUUGCUCAGCCUCGGGAGCAGCCCACUGACUACUCAUGCGCCUCUUACUAGAGUGUGGAGGCAGGAGAGUGAAAUUCUGCUUUAGAAAGGGCCAGAACAGAGAGGGACCACAUCUAAAAUACUUCAUAACAUCAGAGAGCCUAAAAGCUGUUUUAGAAGAGUUUUCACUUCCUUGCAUGUACAAGUCUGAUCUAAACAUAUUGUAUAUUUUUUAGGGAAUUAUAGCACUUAUGCGAGUUGAUUCAUCAGCAUAUCCUUCAGGUUUCACACAGAGUGGCUCUGACAUCAGCAGGGAUAUGCUGUCAUGAACCUUGAGUAACAUGGUGGUAAUUAAGUCCAGGAGUCUUUCUAGGGUCAUAAUUUGACUGUAUGCUUGUACAAAUUUGGCUCCAAAUUCGUAAGAUAGAGUCUUGUACACAGAACUCUUGCAGGUUACAGCACAGCAGCAGUAGUUGCAUGUAUAAGAUCAAUAAAAAUCUGAUCAUAA